GUGGGGAAUAUUGGGCAAUGGGGGAAACCCUGACCCAGCGACGCCGCGUGAGGGAAGACGGCCUUCGGGUUGUAAACCUCUUUUGUACGGGAAGAAGGAAGUGACGGUACUGUACGAAUAAGUCCCGGCUAACUACGUGCCAGCAGCCGCGGUAAUACGUAGGGGACGAGCGUUGUCCGGAAUUACUGGGCGUAAAGGGCGCGCAGGCUGUGCUGCAAGUCAGCUGUGAAAUGUCUGGGCUUAACCCGGGCAUGCGGUUGAGACUGCAGUGCUGGAGUGCUGUAGAGGCAAGUGGAAUUCCCAGUGUAGCGGUGAAAUGCGUAGAUAUUGGGAAGAACACCGGUGGCGAAGGCGACUUGCUGGCCAGCAACUGACGCUGAGGCGCGAAAGCCAGGGGAGCAAACGGGAUUAGAAACCCCAGUAGUCC
rnacentral:rRNA from 1 species